CAGUAGGGAGAAGGUAGUGUAGUUAACACCUGCACUAUUUGACGUUACCUACAGAAGAAGCACCGGCUAACUCCGUGCCAGCAGCCGCGGUAAUACGGAGGGUGCGAGCGUUAAUCGGAAUUACUGGGCGUAAAGCGCAUGCAGGCGGCCUGUUAAGUCAGAUGUGAAAGCCCGGGGCUUAACCUCGGAAUUGCAUUUGAAACUGGCAGGCUAGAGUCUUGUAGAGGGGGUAGAAUUUCAGGUGUAGCGGUGAAAUGCGUAGAGAUCUGAAGGAAUACCAGUGGCGAAGGCGGCCCCCUGGACAAAGACUGACGCUCAGAUGCGAAAGCGUGGGGAGCAAACAGGAUUAGAUACCCUGGUAG
rnacentral:rRNA from 1 species